rnacentral:rRNA from 1 species
AGAUUGAACGCUGGCGGCAUGCCUUACACAUGCAAGUCGAACGGCAGCACGGGAGCAAUCCUGGUGGCGAGUGGCGAACGGGUGAGUAAUACAUCGGAACGUGCCCAGUAGUGGGGGGAUAGCCCGGCGAAAGCCGGAUUAAUACCGCAUACGACCUAUGGGUGAAAGCGGGGGAUCGGCAAGACCUCGCGUUAUUGGAGCGGCCGAUGGCAGAUUAGGUGUUGGUGAGGUAAAAGCGUCACCAAGCCGACGAUCUGUAGCUGGUUUGAGAGGACGACCAGCCACACUGGACUGAGACACGGCCCAGACUCCUACGGAGGCAGCAGUGGGAAUUUGGACAAGUGGACGCAAGCCUGAUCCAGCCAUCGCCGCGUGGACGGGAAGAACGGUCCUUCGGGUUACGUAACCGUCGUUUUGUACGAGGGAAAGAAACCGGU